rnacentral:rRNA from 1 species
AAUGAACGUUGGCGGCGUGGAUUAGGCAUGCAAGUCGUGCGGCAACAGGCCCCGCAAGGGGUGCUGGCGAGCGGCGUAAGGGAGAGGAACACGUGGGUACCUACCUCCGGGCCCGGGAUAGCUGCGGGAAACUGCAAUUAAUACCGGAUGACGUCCCCGGACCAAAGGUGUAAUUCCGUCCGGAGAGGGGCCCNCGUCCUAUCAGCUUGUUGGCGAGGUAAUGGCUCACCAAGGCUAUGACGGUACGGGUGUGAGAGCAUGCCCCCGNUCACUGGGACUGAGACACUGCCCAGACAUCUACGGGUGGCUGCAGUCGAGAAUCUUCCGCAAUGGGCAAAGCCUGACGGAGCGACGCCGCGUGCGGGAUGAAGGCC